AGAGUGAAUAGUCUUCCUUUUAAUAUGCUGCCUGAACUCUGGGCGUGCUUUUCAGCACUGCAGGCUUUCCCACAUUUUCUCUAGCUGCCUAGAAGCUACAAAUGAGGGCACUACUAAAACUCCUGUCCAGACACCUUGGGUAGAGAUACAGACCCCUCAUGGUAGACCAGCUGGCUUGACCAGUUCUCUUCGCUGUGCCUUAAGCCAGUUUCUGCUGUGUGUCCUCAUCAAGCCCCAGGACAGCAGCUCAACUGCCACCCCUUUCUGGAGUUUGCUCUUGCUAUUCAGAAACCCUCUUUGCUUACUUACUCUAUGCUCUCACCCAUGAACUUGUUGUAAACACCUUUCUACAAAUGCAUCUUUCCUACUGCCUGUGAAAGUCAUUCUUUGGGUUUAUGAGUCAAAAGACCCGGGAGCCACUAGCCUGGGAUGGCUUUAGUGGCUGUUGAAAC